rnacentral:lncRNA from 1 species
GGGAGUCUCUGAGAAGCAGUCAUUGGUCUUUCAGCUCAUUAUGAGCCAAUGGCUGGCGUGCUUGUCUCGUGGAAAUAAUUCCUUUAUUCCCAAUGCUCCAGUUUUCUGAUGGCUUAACCACAUGGAUGGGUGUUCCUUUCUUUUCCUGGACAGACGAUGGCAUCGUAGCACUUCCUUAGCAUACAAAGCACCCGCAGCAUCUUCCCUUGUUUGAUUGGAUCAGACAUGCUGGAAGAGUCUGAGGUUUAGGGUUUUGCUUCUAGUUCUGGAUGAAACAGAUGAACGCCAUAAUCCCUAUUUUUCCUAAAAGGGAGACAUGAAAAUCUUGCGUUUAUACUAAAAAGUGUUCCCAUCUCAUUGAAAUUCAGGCUUGAACUAUCCACCCUGAACACGUCCAGAAGCCCUUUCUCUAAUUCUGGAAGCAGUGAUCUCGGGAGAGAAGUUUUCCAUCUGUCUCCUUAUGAUGCUAAGCUGUUAGUGCAGUUCAUUAUUUAUUACAUCUCCUGCUUUAUGUGCGUGGCCGGAGUGGCAGUAAAGAGAUACGUCUUCCGAGGCCCUGCAUGUGUCUGUAGGGCUGGAGGACAUUUGCUCCCAGAGGCAGAGAGAUGACAUGGGAGAAUGUCAGCAUAUCAAGGCACAGCAUCUCACAGUCAUAGCAAAUCCGGUCUCUGAAUAGGCAGUUUGUGGCAUGUGCUUUUAAAAUACAAACUAACAGACACAACAACUGGCAUUCCAAACAUCUCCUGGUCCUCCAGGGCAGAUGGUGCCAAGGCAACGAUGUACUUAUCAGAGCUAAGCUCCCCAGGCUCAUGUGGGGAAGGGAGCUCUGGACUCUAACUCCCUCUUUGCCAUCAGGGUUCAGCUCCCCCUUUUCAGCCCCGGGCCAGGCUGUCUGCAGCUAAUGGGCAGAGGGAAUCCUGGCCUACCAGCCUGCAGGGACAUAGCUGAGUGCACCGCCAUGGGGCAGGAAGGCAGUCCUGCACAAGACAGCCCCAUGAGGGACAGAAGGAGGAAGGCACUGACACCAUGGCCCCCUCUUUCCCCCAGUCCAGUCGUUAUUGUCAACUCUCUUCUUGGUAACCCCUGGCCCCUCAUGUCCUGCUCACAGAGGCUCAGGGGUGGUGAAAUUGCCUCAAAGGGUGGUUAUUUUAUUGAAAUAGAAUCAGAUCAUUUUCCAUCCAGCAUCUUGUUUGUAGAAAUAUCCUAUUAGACACAGAAAGGAAAAGAUCAGUAUCUUUUACACCAUAAUUAAAAUAUCACUUUUCUCAAUGAAACAUUAUCUAGAUUAUCUCACAAAACAGCAUUGCUUACAACAUUGCUUACAAGCCUUAUAAAUGUGAGGCUGCCAGCUAGAACACUAUAGAAAAUGUUAGUUAUUGCACCAUCUCCCACAGUUGUUCUUUUGAUGUGCUGGCUUGGAAUAAACAGACUUAUCUUUCCUGUCAUACAACACUGUCCUUAAUUUAAUGGAGAUGUUAUUAAGAUAAAAUCUCUAUUCAAUUCCAUAUUGUACCAUAUUAACACACACAAUUAGUAAUGCUUUAUCAGUUAUGAAGAAAGAUGAUGACUGCUUUUAAGCUAAAUUACCUUUAUCAUGGUAGCACAUGAAAGAAGCGACAAAUAUUUAUCCGAGUGUAUGUUAAUUCUUAUUUAAUUUUAACGCUGCUUUUAUCAACCAAAUUAACCAAUGAAUUUUAUUAAAGGGAAUGUUACAGGUACAGGACUGGACUCUCUUGCCUAGGCAGCUACUGCAGCCUCCUCUCUGGUCUCCCUGCCUCUACAGUACAUCCUACAGUCUAGGGCCAGGUUGGUCUUCCUCAAGGACAUCUGUGGUCAUUGUCUGUAUGCUCAGGAGUUUGCAGAAGCUUCCCACUGUCCCAGGCAUGAAGUGCAGUUGCCUCGUGCAGGCAUGUAAGGCCCCCAGGAUGGAGCCCAAAGUCACUUUUUGGCCUUGCCCUCUCUGGAUACAUGACACUUUAAUAGGGCUUCUUUGAUGCUGAGUACAUUUUGAUGUGGAAUGGUCUUAAAAACCCCUCGAAUUAUUAGACUGUUAAAUAACGCCUAAAAUAGUCUCACCCCGUCCCUGGGCUUCCCCAACUCUAAGACUCAGUCCAAUGCAGAUGCUCCCUACACUCCUAUCUCCAGCUCCAGAUUGGCCCUUAAUUUUCUGGAAAAUGCUCAACAAUGAUGGGAAAUUAGACUUGAGCUUUUCACGUUUGCUCUCUGGGGAACUGCUGAUCCUUACAUUUAGAUGUACCCCACACCUCGGUCUCAGCACGGACGGCCACUUCUGUGUCUGAAAGCCUGUUGUGGUCCAUUUCCUUUACAAUUGGCUAUUAAGAAUCCAAACCAGUCAUCUGUUCAGCUAGGCAUUUGCCAUUUGGCAAUUCAUAACGCUUAAAAUAGUCAUCUCAAACUAUUUUCUUAAUUUUUAAUAGGCUCUGUCUGUGCAACUGGAUGCUGAUUCCUGAGAGCGGCCCCUCUGCUCAGCCUCCCAAUUAUUUAAGAACUUGGCCAAGCCCCUAAAGACUUUUUUUCCAUCUCAUAGACUUUUAUUCCGGCUUUAGGAUAGCAUAAAUUCCACCUGAUUACUCACUUCCCUGUUUU